AAAUGAGUAGCCUCAAUUCGCUCUCCUAAGAUACCCGGAGCGAAAUCUCCAGGAACGCUCACUCACAAUGCGAAUAGGUUCAUAUUCAUUCCAGGUAAAGCGAAAUGGUUUAAUUUAUAGCAUUAGCAAGCUUUUCUGUUUAAAGUAAAUGCUAAAUUUGGGCGUCCGCUUUGGGACGUAGAACUUUUAUCCUACAUUUUACGAAUUACAUUCUUAAAGCAACACUUAGUCAGAGAAUGAGUUUGUGAGUGUUCGGAUCACCUUGAGUACAGUCUUGAUUAAGGAGAGGGACCCAAUGUGGUAUAAAGGAAUAUUUGGAGGGUGAGAGACAUGAAUGGCUGACGUGGAGGAAAGAAGAUAUUUAGGGAGCUCUGAGAAAUCUGGGGUAAGAAGCAAGG